rnacentral:lncRNA from 1 species
GUCAAUUAGGACCCAAUUACACAUAGUUUAAUAGGUUGGGGAGAGAAAAGAUCACGUUCAAAAGUUGGAGAACAGAUUCCAUACUUCGUUUACGUUACUAAUAUUCAAGCGAGUUCAAAUAUUCCGACAACAUAAUGCCAUAUCCAUUCACACAUCUAUUCUAAUAUCGUCGGAUUCCAUCCAAUUACCUUAUCAAAUGAAAAUAAAUAAAUAAAUAAAAUAAAAAUAAAAAACCCAAUUCCCUAAUUAGAGUAGCCGAUAUGAAAUUUUAUUUAUACUUCUCCUACGAAUAUUACAAAGAGUCUCGCCCGACAACAGAAUUCUUGACACUAUUUUGCAAAUGAAGUCUACCAUAAAGGGUCCAUGAGCAGUAGUUAAAAGAAACAUUACAUAGCACAUAAACAGUUUUAAAGUUGGAACAAAUCAGCCUGUGAUUGAGGUUUUCUAAUCACAGCUACACUGCAUUCCUCCUUCCAAACCCCUGAGCCCUCUGGACUCUGCUCUUACGAAACUGCGAUAUGAAACAACAUGAAUUAG